AAAUACCACAACUGCUUUGUUGAUCUCCCCACACUUUCUAUACUCACUAGCAAUCAGGGGUCCAAUUUGUCGUCCCAGUUUCUUAAAUUCCCAAACUACAUCUGAAUAUGGAAGGUAGCUAAGCUCAAGCCACCUGAUGGGUUCUUCUUCAUCAGUAGAAGAAAAUAAUAAAUUAGAGGAGAUGAAGGAUCUCACUAAAUGGUUAAAGCUUUGCGUUUGAUGGUUUAAGUGAGUCAAAGUUUAUGUCCAAGAAAAAAAAUCUUCCUAGUGACCUAGAAUCUGCUGAAAAGAACUGCAUUGACUAAAGGAAACCCACUUCAGUUAAGUUUCAUGUAUGGCUUCUUAGAAUGUCAAUAUAAUUUUUCCAAUAAAAGAAUAAUUUUGUUGGUUACUUUUUCCAAUAAGAGAAAAGCUUCAAUGUGUGGAUAUGGCAAGAUGUUAUCAAAUGGGUACUUUUAUACGGUUUUGCAUGCUAUAUACAAAGUACCAUAAAGGUGUUGAUGUCAGUUUUCACAAAUUCUAACACAGAAGAAGAGCUAAGGUUUUGGAGGGUAAGUCAAAAGCUACUCAGAGCAAUUGGAGGAAAAUGGAAGAAGAAGAAGAAGAAGAAUGAAUUGUAACUUUAUGGAGAAUCAGAGCAUUUCAUAAGCCAAUAGAGGUUAAUUAAAGAAUUAUUAUUAUUCUGUGAAUUGUACAGAAUAAUAAUAAUUCUUUAAUUAAUAUGUAGACAUGGAAUGUCCAGACUUAUGGAUCCAUGAAUUCUUAGAUUCUCAGUUUGGUCAUUGAGGUACCAAUUAAACAUCCUGAGUUGUUUGAAAGUCCUGGAAUAGCACAACCAAAGGGUGUUUUACUCUAUGGUCCACCUGGUACAAGAAAAACACUGUUGGCUAGGGCAGUUGCGCACCAUACUGAUUGUACAUUCAUCAGGGUGUCUGGCAAGCUCUCUAUCCCCCUCUCUCAUGAAGAAUUUCAUGGACAUCCAUUUGCUUGGUUUGAUCAGUAUGUGCUCCUUUGUUUUAUCCAUCACAUGAAGCAUAUCAAAUUGCAACAGAACUUUACUCAGCUGGGUAGGAUCAGUGCAAAGUAGUAAAUCUUCUUACAAUUGAAGGUUUAAAAUCACUGUUCAUGCACCAACUUUUUUUUUUGUUAUGGGAGAGUAUUGGGCUGGGCCUUAUCUCUUAGCUGAUUGUUUCCAAAGUUCCCUCUCAUUCUCUUUGCUUCUGAGAACCUAUGGACCUCGACACAGCUAGCCGCUGGCCUCCGGCCUUGCUGUAGCUACGCCUCCGGCCUACUGUACUACAUGCCUUGGAGCUCUGAUUGUUGAGGGGGAAAGUACCAUUGAUUAGGGAAAGUACCGUUGAAGACUAUCAGUUUUGCUCUGUUAAUCGUACCUCUGCUAUGCUAUUCUAGCUAUUGCGUGUGCCUCAUCUGCUACGGCCAGCUUUCUGCUUCAUUCGUUGGGUUGUAUUUUCUCUUAAAGUUGGAUGCUAUAACCCUAGAAAGUUCAUCUACCUCCUGUCUUCCCCUAUCGAUUUUCGGCUUAAAGUUGCACGGGUAACCUUCAAGCUUCAUCAAGCUUAAAAAACCACCGUUAAUUCUGCUUUACAGGUUGUGUGCCCUACACCCUAGAUCUGAAAACUGCCCCUCAUUCUUCAUUACAGCCUAGCUGAUUUGAUACACCCCAAUUUUUGCUUAUAAGAUGUUCAUCAAUUGGUUGUUCCUCAUGAAGAACCACUUCUUGGUGAUUUACCAAUGAAGAGCUGCUUCAUGGUAUUUUGGGUUUUGAGAUCCGGGUGAAUUCUGAAGGGUUGAGAGAGUUGUCCAAGCAAUAUGGUGUGACGAAUGCUGAUUUGCAAAGAACUCUUCACAUGGAGAAGAGAACAAGUACUUGUGGAUUUCAAACAAGUAGAUGCUCAUGUGCAUCAGUACGAAGGAAGCAGUGCUAGUGUGGGCACUGCCAGAGUUAAAAAUCUCUGCAUUCCUUUCAGAAAAAUUUGUGAGACUCAAAACUUGGAAGGAUGUGCCUGGUGUAGCAUGAUAGGAGCGGAUGAAGUGGUUCCUUCAUCAGAAGCUUUGAAUCCCUUGCAGCCAAGUAUUAGUAUCUGCUAACAACAUUAGAGAUUUCAAAGAUUGACAAGUUGAGAAGAGGCUAAGUUUCAGCAACAUAGAAGAAGCCUAAUUGUCUCUAUAAGAGAAUAGAUCUUUGAUUUUUGAGAAUUAGGAUUGACAAGUGUCUUGGAUGUGUUUGCAUUUUGAUAUUGACAAACAGAGUGUCAAAGGAAAUGAAUCUAAGAGCAGAAUUGUUAAGUCAACUGGAAGCAAGAAGGAAGGCAGAGUCAUCAAGCAACUACAAAAGUCAAUUCCUUGCCAACAUGAGGAAUACACUCGUGUGGAAGCAUGCCAAAAUCAUAAUGGACAACUAAAGGAGGGUAUAAGCUCUUAAGAUAUGGGAUUUCACAUUGUGAGAAAGAGAAGAAAAUACAACCUGGUUCGGCGCCUUUACACACUAUUCCUUUGUGAAAAAUUCAUGUUAAAACCCUUGUCUUUUGGGGAGGGAAGUGAAGCGAAAGGUCAUUAAAAAUGUCCUACUUGAUGGUGCAGCAGGGGAGUGUUUUUACUGGUGUAGCAGGGUCGUGUUUUGUUAGCAGAAGAAUGUUGUUGUGGUAAAAUGUUUGUAAAAUGCAGGACUUGGUUCAUGUAUGGUGGGUCGAAACUUUAUGGAUUAGUGUGGAUGGGGGUGUUUGUAUCUGUGCAAUACAAGAAUAUGUCUUUGUCAUGGCAUUUGGUUGAAGGUUACUGUGCGGAAGGGACUAUUGGCCUAUGUUGUAAGAUCAAGUUUUGAUCUAGUAGUACAACUCUAUGUUUUGAUGAUUACAAGUUAACCUUUUGAUAUGAACAAUUGUGGUACUCUAACGUGUUUUUCUGAGUGUGCUAUUUACAGGCUCUGACCUCAACUCAAUCUCACACAAAUCAGAAGCACUGUGUAUAAAGGGUAACCCAAGCAACGCUUUCGCAUUCACCAUGUUCAGUAUGAACAGUGGAAAAGCUUCAGAAGUUCUGAAGCUAUACAAACUCUGAUGUGGACUCAGUCGCUAGAAGCUCUGAAGAUCCAGAAGUUCUGAUAACCAAGAAACACUGAAGGUUCAGAUGUUCUGAUGGUGUAGAAGACUCUGAAGAUCCAGAAGCUGAAUAGUGGAAACUCUGAAGUCCAGAAGCAAGAAACUCUGAAGGCCAUGUUCUUCCCUCUGAGUUCAGAAUCAGAAGAUACAAUGGUCAGAGGAUCUGUGCUUUCCCUCUGACUCUGAUCAACCGGCUUCACAAGUUCCAAUAUGAAGUAUUCCCCUGAUCAGAAGUCUCCUAGGUUAAAAGGUCAAGUCGCUAUCCAAGUACAAAAGCAAGUGUACCUUCCUGACGACCUACCUAACGUUCUCAGCCACAGCAGAAGCUGGAUUUUCCAGAACUGCCCUCCAACGGUAGCAUUUCCCAUGCAACGCUCAACCCUAAUCCUUGGAGUAUAUAUAGAGGCUGAAGAUUGAAAGAAGCGGCUAGAAGAAACACACACGCGCAACACAUAUUCAAAAUAUUCUAAGCUUUCUUUCAUCUGAAAUUCAUUGUGUUUACUAUUAGCUUUUUAGAAGCAAAUCUCUUGUAAACAUUUCUUUGAUAAACAGUUUGUUUAGUUCCUUUAGAAGAUCAAGGUUGAUCGGAUCCUAGAGAAGACUAAGAGAGUGAAUCUUAGUGUGAGCUAAGUCAGUGUAAUUGUUAGUCACUUGUAGGUUUCAAGUGCAGUUGUAACUCUUACCUGAUUAGUGGAUUGCCUUCAUUCUAAGAAGGAAGAAAUCACCUUAACGGGUGGACUGGAGUAGCUUGAGUGAUUUAUCAAGUGAACCAGGAUAAAAUCCUUGUGUGCUUUUCUAUCUCUUAUCUUUAGCACUUAAGUUCUCGAAAGAUUUGUCUAAAUCUUUAAGGUGGUAGUUUUGUACUGAAAACGUUAUUCAAACCCCCCCUUUCUACCGUUUUUCAUACCUUCAUAUGUAUUCUAAUUGUUUGUGGUGGAUUGUAGUGGGUGCGUGGGAUGAAUGGUAGGUGACUGUGAGGAACUUGCUGGUGUGUAUGUUUCUAAGUUUCUUUACUGCUGAAUUUGAUAGUAUAGAAAAGGAGAUGGUGGUUUAGAAUGAAAUGAUUUUUUCAUAUCAGAUUGUCACAUGAGGGGGUUGAGUUCAUUGGCAAGCAAGGUGGUGUGGUUUGGCUUCAUGGCAUUAUUUCAAGGAAUUUUUGGAUGAGAAUAUGGUUGUGGUGUACGCUGGUUUUGACCAUGUGGAAUGUUUUUUACUUUUUGAUGCCAGGGUUGUUGCUUGAAUGACUUGUCUAUGAUACGUGGGCAAGAGGGAAGUGGAUUUACUGGUACCUUGACUACCUUCAUUGUUUUGUGGUGGUGGAAGUGUGAGGGAGUCUUUUAUUGUUUGGCUUGGCCAUGACAGGAUUGUAUUGGUUCCAUGGUGAUAAACAGAGGUUCAGUAUGUGGUAGGCUUCCUUUUUUGAUUGGUUAUGGGUAUUAUUUAUGUAUUUUGGGUGAAUAUGUUGAUAAGCCAUGGUAAAAUGGUCAACUUGAGAGUGCUUGUACUCUUUUUCCUUCUCUAGACUUUUUUUUCCAAUUGGUUUUUUCUAUAAUGGUUUUAAUGAGACACACUCUCAAAGCAUGUCCAUCAUAGUGGGGGAUUAUUGUUU